CAGUUACCAUAAAUAAUUGUGGCUUCAUACAGUAAUGUAUGUCGAAUAACUCCUCUAAUUGUCUGGGAGGCUUUAAAAUGCUAAUCAGCAGCGAAGGUUGAGGGGAACCUCUUCAACGUUCAGAGACUAUUAUGUAGGCAACCAAGUGGUGUCGAAACGGGGAGAAUCCUAGUAGGAUUGUGAUAUAGUCCGAUCUAUAGAUGAAAAUUUAUA
rnacentral:ncRNA from 1 species